AAAUUGAAGAGUUUGAUCAUGGCUCAGAUUGAACGCUGGCGGCAGGCUUAACACAUGCAAGUCGAACGGUAGCAGGAAGAAGCUUGCUUCUUUGCUGACGAGUGGCGGACGGGUGAGUAAUGCUUGGGAAUCUGGCUUAUGGAGGGGGAUAACUACGGGAAACUGUAGCUAAUACCGCGUAGUAUCGAGAGAUGAAAGACUGGGACCGCAAGGCCAGUUGCCAUGAGAUGAGCCCAAGUGGGAUUAGGUAGUUGGUGGGGUAAAGGCCUACCAAGCCGACGAUCUCUAGCUGGUCUGAGAGGAUGACCAGCCACACUGGAACUGAGACACGGUCCAGACUCCUACGGGAGGCAGCAGUGGGGAAUAUUGCACAAUGGGGGGAACCCUGAUGCAGCCAUGCCGCGUGAAUGAAGAAGGCCUUCGGGUUGUAAAGUUCUUUCGGUGAUGAGGAAGGGUGGUGUUUUAAUAGAGCACUACAUUGACGUUAGUCACAGAAGAAGCACCGGCUAACUCCGUGCCAGCAGCCGCGGUAAUACGGAGGGUGCGAGCGUUAAUCGGAAUGACUGGGCGUAAAGGGCACGCAGGCGGUGACUUAAGUGAGAUGUGAAAGCCCCGAGCUUAACUUGGGAAUUGCAUUUCAUACUGGGUUGCUAGAGUAUUUUAGGGAGGGGUAGAAUUCCACGUGUAGCGGUGAAAUGCGUAGAGAUGUGGAGGAAUACCGAAGGCGAAGGCAGCCCCUUGGGAAAAUACUGACGCUCAUGUGCGAAAGCGUGGGGAGCAAACAGGAUUAGAUACCCUGGUAGUCCACGCUGUAAACGCUGUCGAUUUGGGGAUUGGGCUUAGAGCUUGGUGCCCGUAGCUAACGUGAUAAAUCGACCGCCUGGGGAGUACGGCCGCAAGGUUAAAACUCAAAUGAAUUGACGGGGGCCCGCACAAGCGGUGGAGCAUGUGGUUUAAUUCGAUGCAACGCGAAGAACCUUACCUACUCUUGACAUCCUAAGAAGAACUCAGAGAUGAGUUUGUGCCUUCGGGAACUUAGAGACAGGUGCUGCAUGGCUGUCGUCAGCUCGUGUUGUGAAAUGUUGGGUUAAGUCCCGCAACGAGCGCAACCCUUAUCCUUUGUUGCCAGCGAUU
rnacentral:rRNA from 1 species